rnacentral:rRNA from 1 species
AUUGAACGCUGGCGGCAGGCUUAACACAUGCAAGUCGAGCGAGCGGCGGACGGGUGAGUAAUGUCUGGGAACUGCCUGAUGGAGGGGGGUAACUACUUGAAACGGUAGCUCAUUCCCCCUACCAUCAGCUGUGCCCGUAUGGGGUUUGCUAGUAGGUGGGGUAAAGGCUCACCAAGGCGACCAUCCCUUGCUGGUCUGCGAGGAUGACCAGCCACACGGGGACUGAGACACGGUCCAGACUCCUACGGGAGGCAGCAGUGGGGAAUAUUGCACAAGGGGCGCAAGCCUGAUGCAGCCAUGCCGCGUGUGUGAAGAAGGCCUUCGGGUUGUAAAGCACUUUCAGCGAGGAGGCGUUACUCGCAGAAGAAGCACCGGCUAACUCCGUGCCAGCAGCCGCGGUAAUUC